rnacentral:rRNA from 1 species
CAAUAGCGUAUAUUAAAGUUGUUGCAGUUAAAAAGCUCGUAGUUGGAUUUGUGGCGUACGGUGGGUUCCGGGCACUUGUUGUCUGAGUAACUUGCUGUUGCCAUCCUUGGGUGGAACCUGUGUGGCAUUAGGUUGUCGUGCAGGGGAUGCCCAUCAUUUACUGUGAAAAAAUUAGAGUGUUCAAAGCAGGCUUAUGCCGUUGAAUAUAUUAGCAUGGAAUAAUGAGAUAGGACUUUUUUGCUAUUUUGUUGGUUUGCGCGAAGAGGUAAUGAUUAAUAGGGACAGUUGGGGGUAUUCGUAUUCCAUUGUCAGAGGUGAAAUUCUUGGAUUUUUGGAAGACGAACUACUGCGAAAGCAUUUACCAAGGAUGUUUUCAUUAA